rnacentral:tRNA from 1 species
ACCUGGCUGGCUCAGUCAGUAGAGCAUGAGACUCUUGAUCUUGUGGCCAUGAGUUCAAGCCCCACAUUGGGUG